CUUCGUUCGACCCCGCAGGCGCGCGGGCUCUCGACUUCGCCCAGUGGGGGCCGCGGGUCUCGCGCUGGUGGGCGCUCGGAGCUCCGGCUCCCUGCAGCUGGGGGCAGGGGCCGCUGGUUUUCGUUUUGACCUCACUGUCGCUGGGCGCGUCCCAGCCCUUGGUCCAGGGCUUACCCUCACGGCGCUUGAUACGAACACACAGAUUUUUGACCCGGGUUGUCUCCAGGUUACUGAGGGCCCGGACGCGCGCUGGUGCCUCGAAAGAGCGUUGGAUGGGGCCAGAGCCCGGCCGAGCCUUCUGGCCCGGGGACAGCCCCUUAAAGGCCCUGGGGCGGGAACUACCUGAGCUCCUCUAGUAGAGGCUGUAAGAAAUGAAAGGAGAGAGAAAGAAAAACUUGCAUUAAGGACAGGCUUUAUCUAAGACAAAGACCUAAGAGGAGAGUAAGGCUUUCCUGUCCAAGAGGCUGAACGCCCCUGAAUGUUUUGCACAGUAAACAGCUUUAAUGGACUACAUAAUUAUGGAGCACAGAAGAAUAUGGGCAAGGUAGUGAGGAAAUUUUCCUCACAGAGGCCCCAGCAGAAGGGUGCACAGGCCGUGCCCGACCGUGGUUUGUGACUCGUGCACACCCGGCCUGGUGCUGGGCACGUGUCUGCUCUCCUAGGCAAGGAGCCCGCUAU
ensembl:lncRNA